rnacentral:rRNA from 1 species
CCAAUAGCGUAUAUUAAAGUUGUUGCAGUUAAAAAGCUCGUAGUUGAAUUUCGGGAUCAAUAUUUCGGUCAUGCCGUUGGUGUGCACUGUUAUCAUUGAUGUCUCACCUUCUAAAGAACCGUAAUGCCAUUAAUUUGGUGUUACGGGGAAUUAGGACUGUUACCUUGAAAAAAUUAGAGUGUUUAAAGCAGGCUCACGCUUGAAUACAUUAGCAUGGAAUAAUUGAAAUAGGACAUCCGAUUCUAUUUUGUUGGUUUCUAGGAUCGAUGUAAUGAUUAAUAGGGAUAGUUGGGGGCAUUAGUAUUCAAUUGUCAGAGGUGAAAUUCUUGGAUUUAUUGAAGACUAACUACUGCGAAAGCAUUUGCCAAGGAUGUUCUCAUUAAUCAAGAACGAAAGUUAGGGGAUCGAAGACGAUCAGAUACCGUCGUAGUCUUAACCAUAAACUAUGCCGACUAGGGAUCGGAUGAUGUUAAUUUUUUAAUGACUCAUUCGGCGCCUUACG